rnacentral:rRNA from 1 species
AACGAACGCUGGCGGCAUGCCUAACACAUGCAAGUCGAACGAGACCCUCGGGUCUAGUGGCGCACGGGUGCGUAACGCGUGGGAACCUGCCCUUAGGUUCGGAAUAACUCCCCGAAAGGGGUGCUAAUACCGGAUAAUGUCUUCGGACCAAAGAUUUAUCGCCUUUGGAUGGGCCCGCGUUGGAUUAGCUAGUUGGUAGGGUAAAAGCCUACCAAGGCGACGAUCCAUAGCUGGUCUGAGAGGAUGAUCAGCCACACUGGGACUGAGACACGGCCCAGACUCCUACGGGAGGCAGCAGUGGGGAAUAUUGGACAAUGGGCGAAAGCCUGAUCCAGCAAUGCCGUGUGAGUGAUGAAGGCCUUAGGGUUGUAAAGCUCUUUUACCCGGGAUGAUAAUGACAGUACCGGGAGAAUAAGCUCCGGCUAACUCCGUG